GUUUGAUCAUGGCUCAGAGUGAACGCUGGCGGUAGGCCUAACACAUGCAAGUCGAACGGCAGCACAGGAGAGCUUGCUCUCUGGGUGGCGAGUGGCGGACGGGUGAGGAAUACAUCGGAAUCUACUCUGUCGUGGGGGAUAACGUAGGGAAACUUACGCUAAUACCGCAUACGACCUACGGGUGAAAGCAGGGGAUCUUCGGACCUUGCGCGAUUGAAUGAGCCGAUGUCGGAUUAGCUAGUUGGCGGGGUAAAGGCCCACCAAGGCGACGAUCCGUAGCUGGUCUGAGAGGAUGAUCAGCCACACUGGAACUGAGACACGGUCCAGACUCCUACGGGAGGCAGCAGU
rnacentral:rRNA from 1 species